ACCCAGACAAAUGAGAAAUAAGGAAGCCUCC
rnacentral:piRNA from 1 species